GCAAGUCGAGCGAGAAGGAAGCAAUUCCUGUAAAGCGGCGCACGGGUGAGUAACACGUAGGUAAUCUACCUCGAAGUGGUGGAUAACCUUCCGAAAGGAGGGCUAAUACAGCAUGAGACCACGGUUUCGAAAGAGAUUGAGGUCAAAGCGGGCCACUAUACAUAAGCUCGCGCUUCGAGAUGAGCCUGCGGCCCAUCAUGGUAGUUGGUAGGGUAAUGGCCUACCAAGCCGAAGACGGGUAGCUGGUCUGAGAGGAUGAUCAGCCACACUGGAACUGAGACACGGUCCAGACUCCUACGGGAGGCAGCAGUGGGGAAUCUUGCGCAAUGGGCGAAAGCCUGACGCAGCGACGCCGCGUGAGUGAUGAAGGCCUUCGGGUUGUAAAGCUCUGUGGAGGGGGACGAAUAAGGGUUGGCUAACAUCCAGCUCGAUGACGGUACCCCUUUAGCAAGCACCGGCUAACUCUGUGCCAGCAGCCGCGGUAAGACAGAGGGUGC
rnacentral:rRNA from 1 species